UUCUGUAUUUUCAGUGCCCCACGAAUCCUCUUUAAAAAGUUGACGAGGACUGGCAUGCAGAAGUCAGUCCAACUCCAUCUUAAAUGCUUUGCAAGUUUAAGAAAAAAAACAAGCAGAAAACAGUCUCUAAAAACAGCUCUGAUGCACAUUUUAGCGUGUCACUAUGCACGGAAUUUUGAUGGUUUAUAUUCUUCUUUUUUUUCUUUUAUUGAAGAGAGUGGUGAUCGUCUCACCAGGGCCUCCUAGGUGUUGGAGCAGCUCAGUAGCCAAAAUCCAGUUUUUUCUCAAAAGGCUUUUCAGCAGGAUUUAGUACUCUUUUUUCGUCUCCAUCUUCAUCUCCAUCUCCAAUGUCAAUCCUUCCCGGCUACCCUAUACCCCCUCCUCCUCCCUACCUGCCCGGUACCACUGGUGCCGUAGAAUUUAACCCGAUCAAUCCUCCUCACCACAAAAAAACACUCCCACAGGAAGGUCAAUAUGACCAACCCCAACCCCAGUAGUAUGCAGACGAACCAAAAAUUUAUCAUUUCCAUCGUUGUCUCGGCGAUAGGGGUGAUAUUGAUCGGCCUUAUCUGCUUUGCCAUUGGCUACUGGUUGAGGAAGAAGCUCAUGGCUCCACCACCACCACCAAAGCGGUCCUCCACUGUUCAUCAGGUCCCUCAUCACUCGCAGCUGGAUCAUCCAUGCUGCUCACACGUACCGGGAGGCUGCUCACAUGCACCGAGAGGCUAGCGAAGUGGCUGACAGACUAUAGAUAAAAGGGAAAGCUUGCAAAUGGACAGAAUUUUUAUUUAUGAGUCAUCCUGAGUUUUAUGUAUGAUAAGUAUCUCAGGAAUAUUUGAUAAAUGGAUACUUAUAGAAAGUGCUUUGUAACAAACUAUACUCUCCUAAACUGGCUGUUUGAUUAAAUAAAACUUCCUCUUUGUUAAAAAAAAAAAAACUAUUGAUGGUUCUUUCAAACUAUACUCCACUCCACCAAGUGAUUGUUCAGGCUCUUGACACUGAAGGCAUGGACAGGGAAAUUGACUUAUCUAAUCUUGGUACCGUCAAUACAAUGUUUGCGGCCUUAUUCAGGUGGUAUCUUACUUGGUAGAUUAGGAGCUAUCAGGGUCCUUGAGCUUUUAUAACCCCUCGUUUUGUUUGUUUAUAGCAAGCUGGGUGUCCCAAUUAAGACUACAAUUUCCGCUAAUGUUCUUGAAGAAGCUCUGAAUGGUAUUGUUACAAUAAGACCUCUUCCAAUUGGCACAUCAGUUAGUGGAAAGUUGUCAACUUAACACUGAUAGAUUUCCCUGCUUUGACAAAGGUUGCCAUAGAGGGACAGCCAGAGAGUAUUGUUCAAGACAUUGAAAACAUGGUUCGUUCAUAUGUUGAAAAGGUAAAAGAAAG